AUUGAACGCUGGCGGCAUGCCUUACACAUGCAAGUCGAACGGCAGCACGGGUGCUUGCACCUGGUGGCGAGUGGCGAACGAGUGAGUAAUACAUCGGAACAUGUCCUGUAGUGGGGGAUAGCCCGGCGAAAGCCGGAUUAAUACCGCAUACGAUCUACGGAUGAAAGCGGGGGACCUUCGGGCCUCGCGCUAUAGGGUUGGCCGAUAGCUGAUUAGCUAGUUGGUGGGGUAAAGGCCUACCAAGGCGACGAUCAGUAGCUGGUCUGAGAGGACGACCAGCCACACUGGGACUGAGACACGGCCCAGACUCCUACGGGAGGCAGCAGUGGGGAAUUUUGGACAAUGGGCGAAAGCCUGAUCCAGCAAUGCCGCGUGUGUGAAGAAGGCCUUCGGGUUGUAAAGCACUUUUGUCCGGAAAGAAAUCCUUGGCUCUAAUACAGUCGGGGGAUGACGGUACCGGAAGAAUAAGCACCGGCUAACUACGUG
rnacentral:rRNA from 1 species